rnacentral:rRNA from 1 species
UAGUCAUAUGCUUGUCUCAAAGAUUAAGCCAUGCAUGUCUAAGUAUAAGCACUUAUACUGUGAAACUGCGAAUGGCUCAUUAAAUCAGUUAUAGUUUAUUUGAUAGUACCUUACUACUUGGAUAACCGUGGUAAUUCUAGAGCUAAUACAUGCUAAAAACCCCGACUCACGAAGGGGUGUAUUUAUUAGAUAAAAAACCAAUGCGGGCAACCGCUUCUUUGGUGAUUCAUAAUAACUGCUCGAAUCGCAUGGCUUUAUGCCGGCGAUGGUUCAUUCAA